rnacentral:rRNA from 1 species
UACGUAGGCAGCAAGCGUUGUUCGGAAUUACUGGGCGGAAAGAGUGUGUAGGCGGUGCUCUAAGUUCGUUGUGAAAUCUCCCGGCUUAACUGGGAGGGUGCGGCGGAAACUGGAGUGCUUGAGCGCGGGAGAGGAAAGCGGAAUUCCUGGUGUAGCGGUGAAAUGCGUAGAUAUCGAGAGGAACACCUGCGGCGAAGGCGGGUUGCUGGGCUGACACUGACGCUGAGGCGCGAAAGCCAGGGGAGCAAACGGG